GCGUGGGUAGCGAACAGGAUUAGAUACCCUGGUAGUCCAAUCUGUAAACGAUUGAUACUAGCUGUUGGGUGCAAACUCAGUUGCUAAGCGAAAAUGAUAAGCAUCCCCCCUGGGGGGUCCGUUGGCAAGAAAGAAACUUAAAGGAAUUGACGGGGGCCCCCCCAAGGGGCCGAUCAAGUGGUUUAAUUCGGUGAUACGCGAGGAUCCUUACCAAGGCUUAAAUGUAGGUUGACCGGUUUGGAAACCGAUCUUUCGCAAGACCAUUUACAAGGUUUCGCAAGGUUGUCGUCAGCUUGGUCCGUGAGGAGUCAGGUUAAGUCCUAUCACUAAUCCAACCCCUGGCAUUAGUUGCCCAGGAGUCAUGUCGGGAACUCAAACAAGACUGCCAGUGCAAACGGUGGGGAAGGGGGGGAGGAUCUCAAAUCAUCAGGGGCAUCUCGCCUUGGGGUACCCACCCCAUACAAUCGCCGGUACAGAGAGCCGCCACCGGGCGGCCAGGAGGGAAUCUAUUAAUCCGGUCACAGUUUGGAUUGGAGUAAUCAACUCGCCACCGUGAAGCUGGAAUCGCUAGUAAUCGGAUAUCAUCCAUGAUCCCGCGAAGUAGUUCCCGGGCCUUGUACACACCACCCGCCCAUCCAUCGGAGUCGGGG
rnacentral:rRNA from 1 species